rnacentral:rRNA from 1 species
UAAGGAAUAUUGGACAAUGGGCGAAAGCCUGAUCCAGCCACGCCGCGUGCAGGAUGAAGGUCCUCUGGAUUGUAAACUGCUUUUGACAGAGACGAACGGUCGGGAUUUAUCUUGAAUUGACGGUAUCUGUCGAAUAAGCACCGGCUAACUACGUGCCAGCAGCCGCGGUAAUACGUAGGGUGCAAGCGUUAUCCGGAUUUACUGGGUUUAAAGGGUCCGCAGGCGGUUUGAUAAGUCAGUGGUGAAAUAACAGGGCUCAACCUUGUUGCUGCCAUUGAUACUGUUGAACUUGAGAUUAGUAGAGGUGGGCGGAAUGUAGCAUGUAGCGGUGAAAUGCGUAGAUAUGCUACAGAACACCGAUUGCGAAGGCAGCUCACUGGACUACAUCUGACGCUAAUGGACGAAAGCGUGGGUAGCGAACAGGAUUAGAUACCCUGGUAGUCCACGCCCUAAACGAUGUUUACU